CGUCUCCUUCCUCCCGCACGGCCUCCUCUCUCUCUCUCCCGAAAACCCUAGUUGCUUUCCUCCCUCAAAUCCACACGAUUCAAACAUGGGAUUCCAAAAUUAAUUAGGGAGAAUUAAUCCCCUUUCCUUCCUCUUCAAUUGCGCCUAAGGCCUCGUUCGGAUAGAGCCCGGCCUUUUCCCUCCAAUCCCUAGGGAUAUUGGUCCACCACCCAGACCAGUGGAAAUCCACCACUCGCCGCCGCCUCGCUUCUCUCGUCGCGUGCCGACGCCUCCUCCUCUCGUCGCGCGUCGCGGCGCCGCCGCCGCCUCCGUCUUCUCUCCCCGAGCGGCGCCCACGCCGCCUCUCCUCUCGUCGCGCACCGCGGCGUCGGCACCUCCCCUGCCGCAUCGCAUCCCUCGCGCGCGCCGCCUUCCUUCCUCCCCAGUGUCGGCGUUGCUUCCCUUUCUUCCCCGGUGCCGGCGCCUCCUCCCUUCCUCCCCGCUGUACAUGCUGGACAGAGUGAAGCAGUCUUCUCCAAGCCCAGAUCCACGACAUCAGCCAUCAGUUGAAGCAGUUCGGGGGACUCAAAGGCCGGAGGGCUUGUUCGCCAACCUAGCUCACUGAGCUGCCAAGCUCGCUUGUAUUGGUAAGUUAAAAAAAAAGGGUUCAAGGGCUAUUCGAAUGAGGAAGCGGGAGGAAGAGGAUGACGAUAUGAUUCUUUUCCUUUUCCCUGCUCUGCAUCUUUUCUACUAAACACAAGUACUGCUCAGUUUUCUGAUAUGUGAUGUCCACGGGCCUUUUGUUUGCUGCACCAAUGAUGCAAGGAAAUGUAUUAUGAUGUAUGUCGGAAAGUGUUGUUACUAGAUAGAACUAUUAAGGCAAUGAAGCUCAAGUUAUGUCUUGUUUUCCCCUCAAAAAAAAAGUUAUGUCUUGUUCGAUUUAAUACUUGUAACACUGAGAGAUAUUUGUGUCCUAAAUCUCAACGUGUAUUGGUUCUUCAUGUUGGUUGCCUUUUUUUUUUUUGCAAUAUUGUAACAAUUACGACAUGGAUUUUGCAGCAGGUCUUCAGUAUUUCUUUAAUUUUCUACAAUUUUCGUAA